rnacentral:rRNA from 1 species
AUUGAACGCUGGCGGCAUGCUUUAUACAUGCAAGUCGAACGGCAGCGCGGGCUUCGGCCUGGCGGCGAGUGGCGAACGGGUGAGUAAUGCAUCGGAACGUGCCCAGUAGUGGGGGAUAGCCCGGCGAAAGCCGGAUUAAUACCGCAUACGACCUGAGGGUGAAAGCGGGGGACCGAAAGGCCUCGCGCUAUUGGAGCGGCCGAUGUCGGAUUAGCUAGUUGGUGGGGUAAAGGCUUACCAAGGCGACGAUCCGUAGCUGGUCUGAGAGGACGACCGGCCACACUGGAACUGAGACACGGCCCAGACUCCUACGGGAGGCAGCAGUGGGGAAUUUUGGACAAUGGGGGCAACCCUGAUCCAGCCAUGCCGCGUGCGGGAAGAAGGCCUUCGGGUUGUAAACCGCUUUUGUUCGGGAAGAAAUCCUCUGGGCUAAUACCCCGGGGGGAUGACGGUACCGGAAGAAUAAGCACCGGCUAACUACGUG